GCUAAGAGCUAAUAUUUUAAGAGCAUAUAUAUUCAAUAAUUAAUUCAGUGUCGAGUUGCAAUCUGUUGCUUGUUCUGUUUCGUUUGCUUGUCAUGCGAUUCUUCUCAAGUGAAAUAUGUAUGGAUAUAUAUAUGGCGGGAUAUGGAAACAUUAAGUUUUAGUUGGAAAAGCUGACCACAAAAGUUUGCCUGACUACCGAGUUCAGUCCAGAUAACCUUAAGUUCUUGAACACACAGAGAGCUUAGACAUUUGCUUGUCAAGUGAUUAAACUUUUAUUUGAUGGUGAUUAAUAACUGCUUGCUUUAUCUCUGAACCAUGUCAACGGAUGUCCCUGAAGCUCCUGAAGCUACAUGUUUGUGUGCUGGACAGGGUGCUAUACAAGCAAAAUUGCGACCUGGCAUUUGGAUUCCUGGUAUACGCUCACCACAUCUAUAUGAAGAAGUGUGGAAAGUUUCUGCUAAUCCAAUAGUUUGCUCAAAAGAUAUUUUACAAGCAGUGACAAAACUUCAUAGGCGGAGCCUUCGGGGAAAUGUUUUUACCAUAGAGUAUGUGGAAGAAAAAGCUGAAAGAAGUGAGAUUGAAAUUUUAGUAUAUGCUCGAUGUCGUAAAGUAUAUGUUAUACACUUGACCUUUGUAAAUGAGGAAACUGGUGGUUGCAUUGCGAAAGUCAGGUCUUUUUCUAGUGGACUUUUUGCUUCAUGGUUUCCUCUAAAUUUCUUAUUUAGCUCUAUUUUCUUUUUUAUUCCAUAUUAUGAUUUUGGCAGAAAUGCAAAUUGGAUAAGCAUGCUUAAGAGUCAAAUUACUAUACC